ACUUAAAUUGAAGAGUUUGAUCAUGGCUCAGAUUGAACGCUGGCGGCAGGCCUAACACAUGCAAGUCGAACGGUAACAGGAAGCAGCUUGCUGCUUCGCUGACGAGUGGCGGACGGGUGAGUAA
rnacentral:rRNA from 1 species